AUUGAACGCUGGCGGCAGGCCUAACACAUGCAAGUCGAGCGGAUGAAGGGAGCUUGCUCCUGGAUUCAGCGGCGGACGGGUGAGUAAUGCCUAGGAAUCUGCCUGGUAGUGGGGGAUAACGUCCGGAAACGGGCGCUAAUACCGCAUACGUCCUGAGGGAGAAAGUGGGGGAUCUUCGGACCUCACGCUAUCAGAUGAGCCUAGGUCGGAUUAGCUAGUUGGUGGGGUAAAGGCCUACCAAGGCGACGAUCCGUAACUGGUCUGAGAGGAUGAUCAGUCACCCUGGAACUGAGACACGGUCCAGACUCCUACGGGAGGCAGCAGUGGGGAAUAUUGGACAAUGGGCGAAAGCCUGAUCCAGCCAGGCCGCGUGUGUGAAGAAGGUCUUCGGAUUGUAAAGCACUUUAAGUUGGGAGGAAGGGCAGUAAGUUAAUACCUUGCUGUUUUGACGUUACCAACAGAAUAAGCACCGGCUAACUUCGU
rnacentral:rRNA from 1 species